CAAUCAUGAAUAGCAUACUCUCACAUUCCUCUUACGUUAUUUUCCCAGGAAUCUGUGUACCAUACCUGUGAUGUUGGGAGGCAUGAUGUUUUUGAAAAACUUAGACUACACUGAGAUAUGUGAAUUUAAAUCAGCAAUUUAAAACUAUCUGGAUACCUGACAGGAGGGAAACAGGAAAAGAGAGAGUAAAAAGAGAAUGACGU